rnacentral:rRNA from 1 species
UACGUAGGUGGCAAGCGUUGUCCGGAUUUAUUGGGCUUAAAGGGUGCGUAGGCGGCCCUAUAAGUCAGUGCUGAAAUAUCCCGGCUUAACCGGGAGGGUGGCAUUGAUACUGUAGGGCUUGAGUGUAGUCGAGGUAGGCGGAAUUGACGGUGUAGCGGUGAAAUGCUUAGAUAUCGUCAAGAACACCGAUAGUGUAGACAGCUUACUAGGCUACAACUGACGCUGAGGCACGAAAGUGUGGGGAUCAAACAGG